rnacentral:rRNA from 1 species
AUGGAUUGGCCGGCUCUCACCUGCUGCACCGCGGUCAUGAUCCUUCUCUUCCUGCCGUUGAGUGCAUCCGACGACCGGCUUGUCCUCGGCAAGCCGCUCUUGUCGGACGCCAUCAUCGUCUCCGAUGGUGGUGCCUUUGCUUUGGGGUUCUUCGCCCCUUCCAACUCCACUCCGGCCAAGCUGUACCUUGGCAUAUGGUACAAUGGCAUUCCCGAGCUCACUGUGGUGUGGGUCGCCAACCGAGAAACCCAGCUCAUUAAGAACACUUCCUCUUCACCGAUGCUCUCGCUCACCAACACCUCCAAUCUCAUUCUCUCUGAUGGUGAUGGUGGCGGCCGUGUCAUCUGGACUACCCAGGUGGCCACUACCCCGGCCUCGUCUACCUCGACGGCGGUGCUUUUGAAUAACGGCAACUUCGUUAUUCGCUCGCCAAACGGCACCAUGCUGUGGCAGAGCUUCAAACACCUGACAGACACGCUCCUUCCAGGGAUGAAGAUCCGGUUUAGAUAUGUGAUACAUGGCGAAGAAGAGCGCCUGGUGUCUUGGAAGGGCUCCGACGACCCCUCACCAGGACAUUUCUCCUACGGUGGUGACACAAACACUUUGCUCCAGUUCUUCCUUUGGGACGGGGCGCGACCGGUGGCCCGCAGCGACCCGUGGACGGGCUACCUUGUGAAGACGGAGCGGCGGUACCAGCAGGUGAACACCAGCACAGAAGUCAUCGUCUACCUGGCCGUCGUCGACAGCGAAAAGGAAAUCUACAUGACCUACAGCCUCUCCGACGGUGCCCCACGCACCAGGUUUGUGCUAACUCACUCCGGUCAUUAUCAACACCACAGUUGGAGCAAUAGGUCGUUGACGUGGGAGGUCCUUGGGCAGUGGCCGUCCGCCGAAUGUAGCAGCUACGGCUACUGUGGCCCAUAUGGCUAUUGCGACGAGACAACAGCACCAGUCCCAACGUGCAAGUGCCUAGAUGGUUUUGAGCCGGCAAACAUGGAGGAGUGGACCAGCGGCAGGUUCUUGUCAGGGUGCCGGCGGAAACGGCCAUUGGGUGGGUGCGGUGACGGCUUCUUGGCCUUGCCAGGGAUGAAGUCACCAGACGGGUUUGCGCGCAUCGGCGGUAGUAGGAGUACGUCCGAGGAGUGCGCAGCUGAGUGCAACCGCAACUGCUCCUGUGUGGGGUACGCAACUGCUCCUGUGUGGGGAGACGUGGCAAGGUGCUUGAUGUGGGCAGGGGAGUUGAUUGACACUGGGAAGUUAGGCACAGAGCUCGGUGGAGAGACGCUCUAUCUCCGGCUUGCAGGCAUGGACGUAACUGCUGGUACCAAAUACUAA